CACGUAGGCGGAUCGGUAAGUCAGAUGUGAAAUCCCGGAGCUCAACUCCGGAACUGCAUUUGAUACUGCCAGUCUUGAGUGAGGUAGAGGGGGGUGGAAUUCCCGGUGUAGAGGUGAAAUUCGUAGAUAUCGGGAGGAACACCAGAGGCGAAGGCGACCCCCUGGACCUUUACUGACGCUGAGGUGCGAAAGCGUGGGGAGCAAACA
rnacentral:rRNA from 1 species